AUAUAAGGUCGAACCUGCCCGGUGAAUAUUUCAACGGCCGCGGUACUCUGACCGUGCAAAGGUAGCAUAAUCAUUUGCCUCCUAAUUAGAGGCUAGUAUGAAUGGUUUGACGUGAGCAUAUCUGUCUCUUUAUAAUUAGUUAGAAUUUUAUUUAGAAGUGAAAAAGCUUUUAUUAAAUUAAUAGACAAGAAGACCCUAUCGAGCUUGAUGUUAAGUAGUAAGCAAGUCUAUACUUAAGAGCACAUUAUUAUAAGAUUUAGUUGGGGCAACUGAGGAGCAAAUAGAGCCUCCUUUAUGAAAUUACAGAAUUAUUGUUAUUGAUCCAUUUUUUGAUUAAAAGAAAUAGUUACCGUAGGGAUAACAGCAUAAUUCUUCUUGAGAGUCCAUAUCGAAAGGAGAGUUUGUGACCUCGAUGUUGGACCAGAAUGUCCUAAAGAUGCAGAAGUCUUUAAGGGUUGGUCUGUUCGACCAUUAAAAUUCUA
rnacentral:rRNA from 1 species